CUGACUUGUGAGUGCGCGCGCGGGCACCUAGAUGGCGCGUGAUACUUACUCAAUCAUCGUGAUCGUGGGCUCUGGCCGGGCCUCGUUGCCUUUCUUCCGCCGUCCAUUUUGGAGAGCGCACGUGUUUGCGGAGGUGUCCCGAUCGUGUCACAAGCAGCGAAGUUCUAAGUGUAGCAGUGCAGCUGAAAAGAACAGACCACUAGUAACCUGGAAAGGAACGAGAAGAGUGUUGAAGCUGGUACGCUUCCCAGAUCCUAACGACUAGUCGUCUACAACAGUCCUAAAGUCCGUGCGUGUUCUUGCGAGUUCGUGCGCGUCCGGAUAGUGGAACCAGUGGCAGAAGAAAAUACACUUACGGUCAAGUGCUAACAAGAAUACCCACCUCUCAAUAGAGAAUUACGAAAUAACAGCUGAGGAAAUAAGCGUCACGAGAUUAACACCCCGACAAAACCAAUUAUUAAAAUCGGCAAAAAUAUCCAAAGAUCCCUUUCAAAGGAAGAAAUAAAUAAAUAUGUACAGAAACUAAAUCAAGCGUUUGCCGAACAUGAACAAAAGAGAAAAAUUUGCGAACAACUUGAUACAUCAUCAUGGAUCCUAUGUCAUCAAAGUUUACCGAAUCUCUGUCCGAAAGAAUUGAAAGAGCAACACGUGACUAUCGUCGGGCUGAGUCCUUUAAUCCCAAACACCAUCCCAACCAGUCAUUCCACGUGGAAAACAAACAAAACAUAACACCGAAAGAAUCGAUAAAUGUUACAAAGAUAGAUGUCCCUCUAGAAAGAUCUCUAGAGUUUUACAUGAGUAACCCAAAGAAAAUUCCAACACUACCAAUGGAGAGAUGGGACAGCUUACUACAAUAUUGGAAAAAUAAAAAUGAUGAAGCGCGUCAAGAUUACUUGGCAAAGGUCACUCCAAUUCUGAAAGAGGCGCUAAAAUUUCAAAAACAAAUGGAAAAGUACAAAGUAGGAAAAUAGGAAGAAAUCAAUCGAGUUCUUCCCCCAUGCUCAAUUUUAAGCAACGUCAUACGAAAAAGUACAUUAAUAACAUCUUUAUCGAAACCUCAGGUGAGUCAACAAUUAUUAAACUCCACACCGAGUACUCUUCCGGCAACAGGUACAUCUGGAACAACACUCGUAACCUCUUCAUCUAUUAAUCUUCCGUUUAAGCGUCAGAAACUAUCAAGUGCCAUUGAAGUACCAACCUAGGAUAAUGAGAUAAUAAUAGAAGGAGAGCACAACACUAAAAACCCCACAGAGAAACCCAAAAUCGCAAAAGAAAGAAGAAACACACAAAAAAAAGAAGGAAGAACCAAGAUCGAUUACCAAUACGUAACACCUUCGGCAUAAAAACCAAGACCAAGUGAUAUGAAACAGAUAAGGAAACAUCUCCUCGGACAAAGACAUGAAUGAUUCGACACAGCACAAAGUCCAUGAUGAUUAUUAAGUCCGGACUAAGGGCGCACUGGUUUCAAAAGACAAACUGUCAACAGUGACCCGAGAACGAGUAAGUUUGUGACAAACUGCCGGUGGAGGAAAAAUUGGCCCACCAUUCAGGAAAAGACCGAGUCACAAAAAGAAAACAAAGUGACGUGGUCCAUUACAAGAUUAAAAAACUUCAUCUAUAAAAGUCAUCUAAUAAUCGAAUCGAGUUUUUUGUUAUCUCUUGUUACAAUCUUUUUGUUAUCUUUUGUUAUCUCUUAGAAGAAUCAUUUUCAUGAUAAACAUGUAUACGAUUUUUAGUUAUUUUAUUUUAUCUAAUAAAGAUAGCUUUCGCGGAAUAAGGACUUUAGCCAGUUUUCUUUUAACAUAUAAAAAUAAGACGUAAUCUGUCGUAUUGAGGGACGAGCUUGGGUAACUUUACAGAACCUAGCCGUAUAUAUCCUUAACCAUAUAUCUCCGUACAGUAGUUUUGCUUUAUCAUAAUUUUUUAAUUUAUACUAUAACCAAUCUAAUCUAAUCAAUUAAGUGAAACAUUAUCCAGAUUCUUCUACUAAUAGUGAUUCUAACUGAUUGAAUCGCGUCAUCGCGUUUCAGUCAGUACCGAUUAGAUCUUUUAUCGUUUAAAAAUCUGUUUAAAUCUGUCAAAAUCAUAUUCCGUAUAUAACUAACUUGGCGUCAUUGUUGUUCGAUAAGUGAAAGUUGUUUUGUUUACAUUUCUUACCGGAAUGAAAUAAGUUACUUUUGAUAUUAAUAUAUGAAACGUACUUGUAAGGAAUGAUAAGCCAGUAUACGACAGUCUUUCGUAUAGUUACCGUUCGACUGCUGAAAAAUGAAAUUCUAUGAAAAUAUAAUUUAAUUUACGCAUUUUAUUGCAUUUAUAAAUUUAAUUGCAUUUAUAAAGUAAUCUUAAUUUAAAUAUUUUUUUAGUAGAUGCUGCUAUCUCGAACGACUAGCGGGGAGCUGGACCCCCCUAAAAACUAACCUAACCCAACCUAUCGUCACAUUAAGCGUCAGUCAAUGUUUAUUAAAGUUCAACUUUUGUGUUAAUGUGAUGAGUGUUAAUGUGCGCAGCUUUCCGCUAGUCUUUCGAGAUUGCAAUACUUACUAAAAAUAUUUAAAUUAAGAUUAAUUUAUAAAUGCAAUAAAAUGCGUAAAUUAAAUUAUAUUUCCAUAGAAUUUCAUUUUUCAGCAGUCGAACGGUAACUAUACGAAAGAUUGUCGUAUACUGGCUUAUCAUUCCUUACAAGUACAUUCAUAUUCAUAUUCAUAUUCAUAGUUUCAUACGUCUAAUAUCAAUAGUAACUUAUUUCAUUCCGGUAUUACAUCCUGCACAGACGUGAGUCACAUUAUUUAUCUUUUAUCCUCCUGUCGGCACCCAACAAACAGCUCCAAAUCCUAAUCGGUUUUCCCGUCUAUCCCAAUAAAAAUUCGAACCGUAAUUCCCGAUAACUAGGAAAUACGGAACCAAAAAUCUCCUAAUCCUCCAAGUAAGUUUCGCUGGACCUUAACAUCAAAAGGAAACCGCCGUACCUUACCCAUAACAUCAGAAGGAGACACCAGAUAACAAAAAAAUUAUAUCCAUUACUUUCCAACUUGCAUCACCCUCUUCCGCCCUGUCCACAGAUUCCCUCACCACCGAAAAAUCCUCCAAUUGCCGUCUCUCUUAAACGUACGAUUUUCUCCACCCAUUACCCCAGUCAAAGAGAUCUUUUUAACCCUAUCUGCUCAUUUAUCACUGGCUGCAACAUUACCCCAUGCCUUCCUCUUUUAACGAAUCUAACACCUAGGAUCCCCGAAAUGUCAUAUUUUUCCUACCAAACCAUCUCCAGCUAAUCCCCUAUAAAACCGCGACCCCGCGUUGUGCUCGCACUUCCUCGCUUGGUUCACGACUUCCUCUCUUGGGUCUCUUCUACUACUGGACAGACGUCGCAUUCCUUUCUUCCGCUUACUUCAAUUCACUUCGUCGAGGCACUCUUCAUCUCUUCGUCACUACUUCUUCACAAGUGCUACCGCGCCAAAAAUUGAAGGGACUUUGAGGAAACGUUGCCCACGAAUUGACUGAGCCCAUUGAUCAUCCUUAACCCCCAUCUUGGUAAAGGUUAUCACCGAAAAGUAAGUCCUACGAGUCUUUUAUUUUUCUUUUUUUUUGUUUUAUGUGAUUCCUGUCGCGCUAAUUAAUUGUGAUAAUUCUGAAGAGUCCAAAAUUUGGUUUUGUCCUUGAGAUCUACUUUCCCCUUCAUUUCCUACACCCCGUAUUAACCUUGAAGACUAACAUUCAUCCUCACCUUCUACAUUCACAUGCACACCACACACAUUUACACACGCGUACCCGAUAAUUUUUGACACUGUAACCCUUCGAUAGUAAUUGACCGCGAUAAAAAUUGUAACGAGGCGCAAGAAAAUAAGUGUAAAUCAUUAAUGUCUAAAAUUUCGGAUUACAAUUUAA